UCUCCGUUGGUGAACCAGCGGAGGGAUCAUUACAGAGUUGCAAAACUCCCAACCAUUGUGAACCUACCUCACCGUUGCUUCGGCGGGUGGCCCCGGGGCAACCCGGAGCCGCGCCGGCCCCGCUCCCGGGGCCUGGCAAACCCGUCAGAAGACCGAAACUCUUCGUCAUCAUUGGCCUCUCUGAGUAACUUAUACAAUAAGUCAAAACUUUCAACAACGGAUCUCUUGGUUCUG
rnacentral:misc_RNA from 1 species